rnacentral:rRNA from 1 species
UGAGGAAUUUUGGGCAAUGGGCGAAAGCCUGACCCAGCGACGCCGCGUGGAGGAUGAAGGCCUUCGGGUCGUAAACUCCUGUUCUGGGGGAAGAAUACGGGAUGCGUGAAGAAUUCAUCCCGCUGACGGUACCCCAGGAGAAAGCUCCGGCUAAUUACGUGCCAGCAGCCGCGGUAAUACGUAAGGAGCAAGCGUUGUCCGGAUUUACUGGGCGUAAAGAGCUCGUAGGCGGCCGAUCAGGUCUCGCGUAAAAUCCCCCGGC